UACGGAGGGUGCGAGCGUUGUCCGGAAUCACUGGGCGUAAAGGGCGCGUAGGUGGCGGUCCAAGUCAACGGUGAAAGCUCGGGGCUCAACCCCGAGUCGGCCGUCGAUACUGGGUUGCUUGAGCACUGCAGAGGCAGAUGGAAUUCCGGGUGUAGCGGUGGAAUGCGUAGAGAUCCGGAAGAACACCGGUGGCGAAGGCGGUCUGCUGGGCAGUAGCUGACACUGAGGCGCGACAGCGUGGGGAGCAAACAGG
rnacentral:rRNA from 1 species